AAGUCGUAACAAGGUUUCCGUAGGUGAACCUGCGGAAGGAUCAUUAACACGUAUCCAACGUAUCAACCAACGAGAAUCGUUUUCACAUCUCCCGGAAGCAAAGAAUGAGUGGAAUCCGAGCAACGCAUUGAAAGGGAUAGCCUCGGCGUCAGCCUGCUCUUAUCACUUAGGCAAAUCGAAAGGUUUGCUUAGACACUGUAUUUUUGCGGAAGGCAAAUUGGUCUGCGGUGGUGCUUUCCUUUCAUUGAGAAUCACUGCAGGCUCCUAUUUUUUUUAUUACCUAUUUCACCCCCCUUUUUGCUAGUUGACUUUAAUACUGUUGUUCUUUUUUUCAAACGCUUGCGUUGGGAAAAGAGUUCACACGUUUAAUUAAUUGAACGUUAAAAAUACAACUCUUAGCAAUGGAUAUCUUGGUUCUC
rnacentral:misc_RNA from 1 species